rnacentral:sRNA from 1 species
AGAAGAAGAAAGAAAAC